rnacentral:rRNA from 1 species
CAAUAGCGUAUAUUAAAGUUGUUGCGGUUAAAAAGCUCGUAGUUGGAUCUCGGCAGGCAGGGGGAGGUUCGCUCUUAGCGCUACUGCCCCAUUUGCCUGUGUGAUUGGCGGAGGUUUCGGGGUGCUCUUCGUUGAGUGACCCGGGGCGCCGUCAGGUUUACUUUGAAAAAAUUAGAGUGCUCAAAGCAGGCUUUUCACGCUUGAAUAUUCGUGCAUGGAAUAAUGGAAUAGGAACUCGUUUCUAUUUUGUUGGUUUUCGGAAAUCGAGUUAAUGAUUAAUAGGGACAAUUGGGGGCAUUAGUAUUCAGACGACAGAGGUGAAAUUCUUGGACCGUCUGAAGACUAACUACUGCGAAAGCAUUUGCCAAGAGUGUUUUCAUUAA